UACGAAGGGGGCUAGCGUUGCUCGGAAUUACUGGGCGUAAAGCGUGCGUAGGCGGUUCGUUAAGUCAGCUGUGAAAGCCCCGGGCUCAACCUGGGAACUGCGGUUGAAACUGGCGAACUAGAAUCUGGCAGAGGGGGGUGGAAUUCCACGUGUAGCAGUGAAAUGCGUAGAGAUGUGGAGGAACACCGAUGGCGAAGGCAGCCCCCUGGGCUGAGAUUGACGCUCAGGCACGAAAGCGUGGGGAGCAAACAGG
rnacentral:rRNA from 1 species